UCAACUCCAUUCGUGGAUAUGGUCUAGUAGC
rnacentral:piRNA from 1 species